ACUCAGUGAAAUUGAACUCGCUGUGAAGAUGCAGUGUACCCGCGGCAAGACGGAAAGACCCCGUGAACCUUUACUAUAGCUUGACACUGAACAUUGAGCCUUGAUGUGUAGGAUAGGUGGGAGGCUUAGAAGUGUGGACGCCAGUCUGCAUGGAGCCGACCUUGAAAUACCACCCUUUAAUGUUUGAUGUUCUAACGUUGACCCGUAAUCCGGGUUGCGGACAGUGUCUGGUGGGUAGUUUGACUGGGGCGGUCUCCUCCUAAAGAGUAACGGAGGAGCACGAAGGUUGGCUAAUCCUGGUCGGACAUCAGGAGGUUAGUGCAAUGGCAUAAGCCAGCUUGACUGCGAGCGUGACGGCGCGAGCAGGUGCGAAAGCAGGUCAUAGUGAUCCGGUGGUUCUGAAUGGAAGGGCCAUCGCUCAACGGAUAAAAGGUACUCCGGGGAUAACAGGCUGAUACCGCCUAAGAGUUCAUAUCGACGGCGGUGUUUGGCACCUCGAUGUCGGCUCAUCACAUCCUGGGGCUGAAGUAGGUCCCAAGGGUAUGGCUGUUCGCCAUUUAAAGUGGUACGCGAGCUGGGUUUAGAACGUCGUGAGACAGUUCGGUCCCUAUCUGCCGUGGGCGCUGGAGAACUGAGGGGGGCUGCUCCUAGUACGAGAGGACCGGAGUGGACGCAUCACUGGUGUUCGGGUUGUCAUGCCAAUGGCACUGCCCGGUAGCUAAAUGCGGAAGAGAUAAGUGCUGAAAGCAUCUAAGCACGAAACUUGCCCCGAGAUGAGUUCUCCCUGACCCUUUAAGGGUCCUGAAGGAACGUUGAAGACGACGACGUUGAUAGGCCGGGUGUGUAAGCGCAGCGAUGCGUUGAGCUAACCGGUACUAAUGAACCGUGAGGCUUAACCUUACAACGCCGAAGGUGUUU
rnacentral:rRNA from 1 species